rnacentral:rRNA from 1 species
UACGGGGGGGGCAAGCGUUGUUCGGAAUUACUGGGCGUAAAGGGCUCGUAGGCGGUCCGUCACGUCGGGAGUGAAAACUCGGGGCUUAACCCCGAGCCUGCUUCUGAUACGGGCAGACUAGAGGUAUGCAGGGGAGAACGGAAUUCCUGGUGUAGCGGUGAAAUGCGCAGAUAUCAGGAGGAACACCGGUGGCGAAGGCGGUUCUCUGGGCAUUACCUGACGCUGAGGAGCGAAAGUGUGGGGAGCGAACAGG